rnacentral:misc_RNA from 1 species
UAUGGUUUUAAAUAACGGCCAUUAUAUAAAGGUUUUUGGGGUUACCUUUACCAUUACCUCCAUUAUGUAAAGGACAUUUCUUUUUUUCUGUUAUUGUAAUGGUCGUUACUUCUGUUAUGUAAAGGUAAAGGCCGUUACCCAUAGGUUUUCCAUUAAGUAAUGGCCAUUGCCAUAUAAAACUUUUUUUUUGGGUAUUAUUUUUAAUUUUUGUUACAGCAGCCCCCUUUCCAAGCUUCCAUGACAAUCCAGUUUCCGUUAUUCAUGACUGUAACUGUUGUAGCCACAACGGUGAGUUAAAUCCAUGUUUGAUGUAUACCUAUUGCCUCAAGUUCAUUAUACAUACAAUAGAAUUCUUCAUGUAAAUUGUAUUACUUCUUCCAGUAACUGUAAUGCAUACCUAUUUUCAUUUAGAAUUUUUAAGUUGCAUGGUUGAUUUGAUCCAUUAAAUUAUAGGAUGACACUAGAAUCUAGUUUGAUUCAAUGAAUUAUGUUUGCAUUUGGUGUUUGUUUUUAGUAUUUCAACUUGUAUGAAUUGAACACUUUCAGCCUUCUCACUUCAAAAGUUAAAUUUGAAAAAUGGGGGCAUGACUGCAUGAGGGAUGAAGACUCACAAUCUACAAGUGGCCAUUACAUUCAAAUUUUAUUUUUCCAUCACCUAAAAGCAAUAGUUUAUAUGCCAAAAUGAUAUUUGCUAUGUACACUCAACUCUCAGUAGUGUUUUACUAGUUUUCAGUGGUUUCACAUUCUAAAAUUUCUAGUUGAUAGCUCUUUGUCUCUGAUUAAUUUGUUUAGUGUAGCUUUUUUCUUUAAAGGCGUAUCAAGCAUAACCAACCAACCGUGUUUCUCUUUCCUGUUGGAUGAUAUGUGGUAUAGGAGGAGCUUUUGGAGUUGCAGGAUGAGAAUCUUUCAUUGAAUAUGAGAAAACAGCAACGCCGAGCCUUGGAAUUUUGGGAAAAAAAUUGGCACUCUGGUGUUCCCCUCAAAAUAAAGCGCCUUGCACGUGAUCCUGAGAGAUUCAUUUGGGCUGUUAGUAUGGCGCAAUCUCGGUGCAUUAACAUGCAAAUGAGAAUUGGUGCUUUAGUUCAAGAUGCAAACAUGCUAGUUCCUUAUGCU